GACGAACGCUGGCGGCGUGCUUAACACAUGCAAGUCGAACGGAAAGGCCCUGCUUUUGUGGGGUGCUCGAGUGGCGAACGGGUGAGUAACACGUGAGUAACCUGCCCUUGACUUUGGGAUAACUUCAGGAAACUGGGGCUAAUACCGGAUAGGAGCUCCUGCUGCAUGGUGGGGGUUGGAAAGUUUCGGCGGUUGGGGAUGGACUCGCGGCUUAUCAGCUUGUUGGUGGGGUAGUGGCUUACCAAGGCUUUGACGGGUAGCCGGCCUGAGAGGGUGACCGGGCAAAUUGGGACUGAGAUACGGGCCAGACUCCUACGGGGGGCAGGAGUGGGGAAUAUUGCACAAUGGGCGGAAGCCUGAUGCAGCAACGCCGGGUUCGGGAUGACGGGCUUCGGGUUGGAAACCGCUUUCGCCUGUGACGAAGGGUGAGUGACGGUAAUGGGUAAAGAAGCACCGGCUAACUACGUG
rnacentral:rRNA from 1 species